AGGACGAACGCUGGCGGCGCGCUUAAUACAUGCAAGUCGAGCGAGAACCAGGGCUUCGGCUCUGGGGACAGCGGCGAACGGGUGAGUAACACGUGGGUAAUCAACCCCCGACACCGGGAUAGCCCAGGGAAACUUGGAUUAAUACCGGAUGCUCCGUCUGGCCUUCGGGCCGGCCGGAAAAGGGUAGCUUCGGCCUCCGGUCGGGGACGAGCCCGCGGCGGAUUAGCUUGUUGGUGAGGUAAAGGCUCACCAAGGCGACGAUCCGUAGCUGGUCUGAGAGGACGAUCAGCCACACUGGGACUGAGACACGGCCCAGACUCCUACGGGAGGCAGCAGUAGGGAAUCUUGCGCAAUGGGCGAAAGCCUGACGCAGCGACGCCGCGUGAGGGAAGAAGGCCUUCGGGUUGUAAACCUCUUUCAGGAGGGACGAAGCCACUCGGGUUAAUAGCCCAGAGGGUGACGGUACCUCCAGAAGAAGCCCCGGCUAACUACGUGCCAGCAGCCGC
rnacentral:rRNA from 1 species